CUGCGCGCGCCGCUAGGGAAGGCGGGGCGCCGCAGGGUAGCGAUGCCUCGCGGACCGCCCCAGGCGGAGCAGGGAG
rnacentral:SRP_RNA from 1 species